AAAUUGAAGAGUUUGAUCAUGGCUCAGAUUGAACGCUGGCGGCAGGCCUAACACAUGCAAGUCGAACGGUAACAGAAAGCAGCUUGCUGCUUUGCUGACGAGUGGCGGACGGGUGAGUAAUGUCUGGGAAACUGCCUGAUGGAGGGGGAUAACUACUGGAAACGGUAGCUAAUACCGCAUAACGUCGCAAGACCAAAGAGGGGGACCUUCUGGCCUCUUGCCAUCGGAUGUGCCCAGAUGGGAUUAGCUAGUAGGUGGGGUAACGGCUCACCUAGGCGACGAUCCCUAGCUGGUCUGAGAGGAUGACCAGCCACACUGGAACUGAGACACGGUCCAGACUCCUACGGGAGGCAGCAGUGGGGAAUAUUGCACAAUGGGCGCAAGCCUGAUGCAGCCAUGCCGCGUGUAUGAAGAAGGCCUUCGGGUUGUAAAGUACUUUCAGCGGGGAGGAAGGGAGUAAAGUUAAUACCUUUGCUCAUUGACGUUACCCGCAGAAGAAGCACCGGCUAACUCCGUGCCAGCAGCCGCGGUAAUACGGAGGGUGCAAGCGUUAAUCGGAAUUACUGGGCGUAAAGCGCACGCAGGCGGUUUGUUAAGUCAGAUGUGAAAUCCCCGGGCUCAACCUGGGAACUGCAUCUGAUACUGGCAAGCUUGAGUCUCGUAGAGGGGGGUAGAAUUCCAGGUGUAGCGGUGAAAUGCGUAGAGAUCUGGAGGAAUACCGGUGGCGAAGGCGGCCCCCUGGACGAAGACUGACGCUCAGGUGCGAAAGCGUGGGGAGCAAACAGGAUUAGAUACCCUGGUAGUCCACGCCGUAAACGAUGUCGACUUGGAGGUUGUGCCCUUGAGGCGUGGCUUCCGGAGCUAACGCGUUAAGUCGACCGCCUGGGGAGUACGGCCGCAAGGUUAAAACUCAAAUGAAUUGACGGGGGCCCGCACAAGCGGUGGAGCAUGUGGUUUAAUUCGAUGCAACGCGAAGAACCUUACCUGGUCUUGACAUCCACGGAAGUUUUCAGAGAUGAGAAUGUGCCUUCGGGAACCGUGAGACAGGUGCUGCAUGGCUGUCGUCAGCUCGUGUUGUGAAAUGUUGGGUUAAGUCCCGCAACGAGCGCAACCCUUAUCCUUUGUUGCCAGCGGUCCGGCCGGGAACUCAAAGGAGACUGCCAGUGAUAAACUGGAGGAAGGUGGGGAUGACGUCAAGUCAUCAUGGCCCUUACGACCAGGGCUACACACGUGCUACAAUGGCGCAUACAAAGAGAAGCGACCUCGCGAGAGCAAGCGGACCUCAUAAAGUGCGUCGUAGUCCGGAUUGGAGUCUGCAACUCGACUCCAUGAAGUCGGAAUCGCUAGUAAUCGUGGAUCAGAAUGCCACGGUGAAUACGUUCCCGGGCCUUGUACACACCGCCCGUCACACCAUGGGAGUGGGUUGCAAAAGAAGUAGGUAGCUUAACCUUCGGGAGGGCGCUUACCACUUUGUGAUUCAUGACUGGGGUGAAGUCGUAACAAGGUAACCGUAGGGGAACCUGCGGUUGGAUCACCUCCUUA
rnacentral:rRNA from 1 species